UUUUUCUAACAUGUGUUAUGAUGUAUUCUAUAAUCUCACAAAAUUUUAACCACUUGUGCGAGGAGAAACAAAAAAGAUAAAUUGUGUUAGAGGUAACUUGAACCAAAGGUACAGUUUAGGGGAAACUGUACGGAGAAAUAGUUUAUGGGUUUAUCCGAACUUUUCCUAUAUUUGACAAAUGCUUAGCUCCGGUCGAUUUGGAAACCACUUUGUAGAAACGGUCUUGAAAUCCGAACCAACAGUAUUAGGUAAUUUUAUAGUAUUGUCCAUUUACCAGGAUCAUCCAUCCCCACUGACGUUCCAGUUUUAUGUGAAGUAACU
rnacentral:lncRNA from 1 species